CGGUGCUGAAGCGACAAAUGCCCUGCUUCCAGGAAAAGCCUCUAAGCAUCAGGUAACAUCAAAUCGUACCCCAAACCGACACAGGUGGUCAGGUAGAGAAUACCAAGGCGCUUGAGAGAACUCGGGUGAAGGAACUAGGCAAAAUGGUGCCGUAACUUCGGGAGAAGGCACGCUGAUAUGUAGGUGAAGCGACUUGCUCGUGGAGCUGAAAUCAGUCGAAGAUACCAGCUGGCUGCAACUGUUUAUUAAAAACACAGCACUGUGCAAACACGAAAGUGGACGUAUACGGUGUGACGCCUGCCCGGUGCCGGAAGGUUAAUUGAUGGGGUUAGCGGUAACGCGAAGCUCUUGAUCGAAGCCCCGGUAAACGGCGGCCGUAACUAUAACGGUCCUAAGGUAGCGAAAUUCCUUGUCGGGUAAGUUCCGACCUGCACGAAUGGCGUAAUGAUGGCCAGGCUGUCUCCACCCGAGACUCAGUGAAAUUGAACUCGCUGUGAAGAUGCAGUGUACCCGCGGCAAGACGGAAAGACCCCGUGAACCUUUACUAUAGCUUGACACUGAACAUUGAGCCUUGAUGUGUAGGAUAGGUGGGAGGCUUUGAAGUGUGGACGCCAGUCUGCAUGGAGCCGACCUUGAAAUACCACCCUUUAAUGUUUGAUGUUCUAACGUGGGCCCCUUACCGGGGUUGCGGACAGUGUCUGGUGGGUAGUUUGACUGGGGCGGUCUCCUCCUAAAGAGUAACGGAGGAGCACGAAGGUUGGCUAAUCCUGGUCGGACAUCAGGAGGUUAGUGCAAUGGCAUAAGCCAGCUUGACUGCGAGCGUGACGGCGCGAGCAGGUGCGAAAGCAGGUCAUAGUGAUCCGGUGGUUCUGAAUGGAAGGGCCAUCGCUCAACGGAUAAAAGGUACUCCGGGGAUAACAGGCUGAUACCGCCCAAGAGUUCAUAUCGACGGCGGUGUUUGGCACCUCGAUGUCGGCUCAUCACAUCCUGGGGCUGAAGUAGGUCCCAAGGGUAUGGCUGUUCGCCAUUUAAAGUGGUACGCGAGCUGGGUUUAGAACGUCGUGAGACAGUUCGGUCCCUAUCUGCCGUGGGCGCUGGAGAACUGAGGGGGGCUGCUCCUAGUACGAGAGGACCGGAGUGGACGCAUCACUGGUGUUCGGGUUGUCAUGCCAAUGGCACUGCCCGGUAGCUAAAUGCGGAAGAGAUAAGUGCUGAAAGCAUCUAAGCACGAAACUUGCCCCGAGAUGAGUUCUCCCUGACUCCUUGAGAGUCCUGAAGGAACGUUGAAGACGACGACGUUGAUAGGCCGGGUGUGUAAGCGCAGCGAUGCGUUGAGCUAACCGGUACUAAUGAACCGUGAGGCUUAACCUU
rnacentral:rRNA from 1 species